rnacentral:misc_RNA from 1 species
AUCGAUGACAACGACUAUGACGUGAAGAUGCGCUCGGCGCGCCGUUUCCUUGAGGAAGGUGACAAGGUCAAGGUGACCCUGCGCUUCCGCGGCCGUGAAAUGGCGCACCAGGAUCUGGGUAUGAAUGUGCUGGUCCGCGUCCGCGACGAGCUGGAGGCGCUGGCGAAGGUCGAGCAGAUGCCGAAGCUCGAAGGCCGCCAGAUGGUCAUGGUGCUGGCUCCGCGCUGACGCGGGGCGAGGUUGCGGAAAAGGCCCGUCCGGGAUGCCGGACGGGCCUUUUUCAUUUGUUGCGAUGGGGCGGCGCCUCAGCGCA